AUCACUUAAUUAAUCCUAGAUUAAUUCUUGAUCAAUACUAAUUAAAUAAUCUUAUUAUUCUUAUUAUUAAUAUACUAGAACUUAUAAUAUAUUAAUAACCAUAAGUGUCUUAUUUCUCUCAUUUAGUCUAUCCAAGUGCAUGAUGCCAUGCAACCCAAAUGGACCAUGCCGGGUCGGGUCAAGUCUUACCAAUUAUAGUUAUGGACUUAGACAUUAAUCCAACAAUCUCCCACUUGGAUAAGUCUAAAACUAUUAUUGCGUAUGACUUCAGGAACCAACUGGCAAUCGUAGCUCUCAAAAGCUUCUGUCGAACUCUGACCUUGUAGAUGAACUCUGACCUUUGUCAGUGACUUGUCCAUUAGAUAAGGGAUCAUAUAUUCCUCCAUUCUAGAUAUCAUAUGGACUGAGACAUGGAUUAUAAUCAUUCUCUCUGUCCAUUUGUUGUUUCCCGAUUUCCGAUUUAUGACGACUGACUAAUUGAACAAAUCAAAUCAGUCCUGGCCCGGCCGAGCACUUCCAUUUGUCAUCAUCAAAUCAUCGAGGGGCCCACAGAUAUCGCUUUUAUCCCGAAGGUAAAAGGAAUGGAUAAACUUCGACUCAUAUGGCUUGUUCUACUACUUGUUGAAUCAUACACAAAGGCACGUUUUAUAGCACCGAGUUACCAAAUGCGUUUUCGUGCAAUCAAUGUACUAUCAACUCAUAGUAACAACUCAUAUCUCUAGGUUUGAAGAAUAUAAGAUAUUAUCGUCUCAUGAUCACUCGUGAUAAAAUCCAUGAAGUGAUUCCAAUGAGCGCGGGUUGAAUCCAAUACUCAGAACUUAUGAGCACUCAUGAGUGUUGUAGCCCUUUGUCCAACACCUUAGACCUCUACAAGCCAACCCAUGACAGUCUUAAUUCAUAUCUACUUCCAACAUAUGACCGACUGUGGAUGGUUUGAAUAACUUAGUCAUUCCGGAAGAAUAACCUAGUUUAUUCGGGAAGUCAAAACAUGCAAAGUGAAACACAAUAAUAAUUGAAUCCAAUAUGGUAUCAAAACUUUGAACAUAAAUAAAACACCUUUUAUUUAUCACCAUAUGAUUACACAUUAUUCAUUGUAUACUGUUUCAGCUAUCAACUUUAUUCUUGAAUUUAAAACAAUAGUUGUCCCAUGCUCCAAGCAUGUACACUAUGUUUUCUUAAACACUAGUCAUGCCACACACCAAGUAUGCAUACUAUGUUUGUCUAUGAUCUUUACUUUGUGAACUAGAUCAAUUGAACAUAACUUCAAUGAUUCUCUUUUCACACUCCCAAAUCCUUACUGCAAAUGCAAGAAUUCCAAAUUCAUGCCAUUUACUGAAAUCUGUUAGAUUCUAAACUUAUAUGCAUUGAUCCUCUUGUAAUGAUUAUGCACAAAGUCAGAAAGACUUGACAACAAUCAUUACAGAGUAUUCCAAAGGAGAUCAGCUCCUUGGAAACAUCCUUCUUGCAUUAAGUUUCCUAAUCUUAAACAGAUUGAAAAUUCUAACUUUGAAACAUUUCCAGAUUCCAUUUUGACUAUCACUUCUGAACAAGAGUUGCCUCCUUACAGAUUAUGUCAAUAUGGUCCUUCCAGAAUUAUCACUAUACUUCCAACUGUCCUUGAGCAACCAAUCUUUGGUAAACCUUAGAUUGUCCUCGACAAUUGUUUAAUCCUUUUAGUCAUAUCCAGUUCUAAACCUUUUCCCUUCUUAAUGCCCCAGGCAUUUGGAAAAUUUUAGAACGGAUGAAUAUAGCACAUGUAAUCGAUCCUAUAUCCGAAGCAUAUGGGACACGAUUCAUGAUGUCUUACAUAAAGACUAAACCAGUCUUUUGCUAUAAUAUUUCCAUUUCAAUUUGCCAAGUUCUCAUAAUUCAGAUUAUGAAAAGGGAUGCCGUAAUCAUAAUCGAAUUUUAGAACGCAAAUAAUGGACCCAUAUACAGAAUUUCCUUAUGUUGAGCCAUUCCAACAUGAAAUUCAUAUAUAUCCUUGACUAAAUGAUUAAAACCUCACGAUCUAAGCUUAUAGAUUUGAGAUGAAGCAUAAUUUCCUCUCCCUUAAUUAUAGCAAAACAACUUUUUCCCAAUUGAAACUUUUGUUUUCUAUAAUUAACAUUGCUAACUUGCAAUACUUAUCAUAAUUAUCAUGCUCCCACUAACAUGAUGAUUAUUAGCAUAACACUUAUGCUCCCACUAGCUUUGACAUGUACUCAGAAAUCAGCUGGACUUCUAGAAAUCAAUACUUCAUUGACUUUCUUACCAAAGUUCAGAUUUCUGAUGCUAGAUUGUUUUGAUAAAGCUUUAUCAAAAUCAUACACCUUCCCUUAGAUAGCACACUUGUGUGUCUAAACAAUUAUGAAGAGGUAUGCCGUAAUCAUAAUGGUUAGACCUUUUUGCCACUUCUCACAAGUCCAGGUUAGUGUGCCGGUUAACCACACGCGCUCCACUAACGACUUUGAGAAUGCAAAUAUCACAAUUGCUAUCUAGAUAAAAUCUACUUAGUGAAAGUGUUUCCUCACCAUCAUUUUCAUGAAUCGGAGAGAAACCUUAUGACACUUAGAUUUAUAUGGUGUAUGAGUUCCUACCCAUAUGAAUUUGUCAAACCAUAAUCACAAGACAAAGAUAAUGACAAAUCCAAAACCAUAUGGAUUGAACUCAAUCUUAACUUCUUGCCACCUGGCAGCUCAAGGGCCUGCCAUUGCUUCCAAGUUGUUAUGCAACAAACUGAGAACUCUAAGAACUCAUAUGCAAAGCCAACUUUAACUGGAAUGGGCACAGAUAUGUCAACACGAUAGGUUAUAAACCUCAAGUCGUGUGCUAGUGAAGAACUUCAGGUUUUAUUCUUGAUUAGUUCUUGAGACUUUCAAGACCUUUAAGACUCCCACUGUCCUCUUGACAUAUAAGACUCCCUUGUCAAACAUCCAAGAGAUAGUGCGGAUUCUAAUCAAGAAAAACACUUUACCCAAUUGGCCUAAGUUGGUCUUUGUUUUAUCCAAAACAUCACAACUUACCAAUUUCAAAUGUACAAGAGUAGAAAACUUUUACUCUUACAUUUGACAAGUGUUUUAAACCUUCUUUAAGACAUGUCACUCAAAUGACAAUCUUGGAGUAUGACUCUAAGACUUGUAUUGGAACGAAGUAUGACUCAUCUUCUUGAUUUAACCAUUUCAACAAUUCAAGUUCCUCUUCUUAGUCAUAAGAAUGCACUAAGAUUUCCUUAGAGAACUAAUUUUGAUAUGGUUUCUUAAUCAUUAAGAUGAUCACAAAACUGAUACUAAAGUACUCUCCCAUCUUUUCAGAUUUGAGAAACUUUUAUCCUUCUGCCUUAUUUGAUUCUUCUUAUCGAUCUUUAGUGGUGGACUUAAUCAGUGCACAAGAAUGUGUACUCGAUCCCUAAGUCCUUUACUUGACUCACACAUCCAUGUGAACAAGUAAUUAGUCUUAAUUUUCCAAAACUUGAAAGUUCUCAUUCAUCAUGCUAUACAACUUGCAUGAUUCCAAGUUCCGGUCCAAUUGAAACUUGGGUGAUGAGAAUCUUUCCUUAUUUGGUAAAUUUAGACAUUACCACAAAUGAAAGAAUCAAUUUCAUACUUCCACUCUUGCUACUAAUGGAAUCUUAUAAGCAACAAAAAUUUCCACAGAUGCCAUUGUAAGGAUAUUUUAAAAUAAAUAAAAUCAAAAAUUUCCUUUUAUUUUAAAACUUUGCGGAAAAACUAUCCUUACAAUCCAUAUGAAAACUUGUUGUUAUCUAUUCCUAAGCAAUAUCUCAUAACUCCUAAGAAGUAGCUCAAGAAUCCGAUUUUUCAAACUAUGCGAUAGAAAUCCAUCUAUGCGAUCAGAUUCAGCAUAUUCUUCCUUUAAGUUUCUUCACUUUCCUUUGAUUCUUAAACCAUCACCAUGCGACCCGGUCACAUCAUGUAUCAAGAAUCUCAGAAUAGAAACUUAACAGAGUUAGAUAGUGGAUUUUACCUGAAGUAGAGUCAAACUUAUUGACUUUAACAUCCUUAGGUAAAUUUGGCAGCUUCGCAACCAAUGCCCUUUCUUUGGCAAUACAAACAUAUGGACCCUUUGAUAAUGGUACACAGGACUAUCACAGACUUAGCUUUUCUCUUUACCAUUUGGUCAACCGAGUUGACUAUAGCCGAUCCCUUUCCAUUGGGAAGAGAAUGCUUUACUGGAUAUCCAAUGUCAUCAUUGUCAAUGUCCAUAAAGUUUUAGGAAGUUGAUCUUAACAAAUAGAUAAGAUCAUUAAGGGUCUUGUCAUAGUCUUUUUCAUAGGUGUUCCAAAAGAACUCACUAUGUGACUUAGAAAGUAGUUGAACCACCAACUUUCUCAAGACUUUGACACCCAACUCUCCCGGCUUGUCAAUAUGUGACUACAUCUCCAAGAUGUGACCACACCUAGACCUUGCCUUGCCAAAAGGGCCUGAGUGACCUUAAACUUUUCAAGAACUUGUGGGUUAGGGAGAAUAAUUUGAAGAGGUGAAGAAGUAUGAUAUCCAUGGGACAUCAUCUUCAUUAGGAAACCUUGUUUCAAGAGAUUUGGGAAGAUCAUAGGUGUCUAAACCAGACAUCUUUUGGGAGAUAUUCAAGAUAGUUGAUUUAAAGUCCUUAAUAUGACACCCAAUAUGAAAUAUUAAGGCUAGGACCCAACAAACUAUUUUAUAACUUAGAAGAGGUAUGCCGUAAUCCAAGCUAUAAAAUAUUUGAAGGUAGGUGAAUGACGAUUCACCAAUUUCCACCAAGAUAAACGAAAUGUAUUAUUAGGUUUUAAUUGGUUUUGAAACUCCUAGAUCUUUGAGAUUCAUUGAACUUUUCAAAGGCAUGUUUCAAUCUCGAGUGUGCCCUUCAGGUUUUGUGACUGGGAUGCCGAGGAUCACAAAACAAGGUGUGAAGUAACCAUGCAAAUCACUUGGUACCCUUAAUAAAUUACCCCUCAAUCGAUGUGCCGGUUAACCACACACGCUCCAUCGAUACUAUGAUAAAUAUUAAGUCACCCUUUACCUACCUUGUUAAGUCCAAGUUAGUGUGCCGGUUAACCACACACGCUCCACUAACGACUUAGACAAAGUGUAAAGUGUAAUUUCAUGGAUUAGCACCUUAUUCACAUUUUUCCUAAGUAACUAAGAUUGGGUAUUAUUAAGAGUUUAGUUACUUAGUAUUAUCAUUAAUACUUUUAAUGAAGGGAGAAUUCUAGUCCUGUCAAACCCGUUCGGCUAACGACCCUCCACCAGUCAAGCAAGCGGUGGGUGAGAGUGGACACCCAUUAAGUUGCCAUUUUAUAGGCAACAACCUUAUACCCACCUUAUAGACCGGCUUCGUGAAUGAGGCGUACUAGCGGUAAGACUGACUUUACUCUUAUACAUAUAUAUAUUAUUAACUUAUAAUAUUAUAAAGUAUAAGGGUUGAAUUUUAACUUUUAAAAUUCUAAGGGCUAACUUGGAAUUAAAGUAUUCAUAAGUGAAAACUUUACAAAUUCCAAAACUUGAGGGCAAGUUUUGAAACUAUUCAAAACUAAUUAAUUCCAUAACUUAUGUGUUUAAAGUAGUUUUAAUCCAAAAACUCUUCAAGUUCCAUAACUUGAGGACAAGUUAUGGAAGACUUUAAACUAAUAAAAGAAUUAACUUUUCUUUAUUUUAUAACUUAUGGAAUUAAUUAAGGUUACACUUUUUUUUUUUUUAUUUUAUUUUAUUAAAUGAAGAGACUCUUGGUCCUCCAUAACUUGAGGACAAGUUAUGGAGUCAUAAAACCAUUUAAUUAGAACUAGACUCUUCAUUUUUGUAACCUUUGCCAAUUUUUAUGAGUUUUAUGAUUCUUAAAUGUGACUUUUCAUAUAACUUGAGGACAAGUUACAAAAACACAUUUUAGAAUCAAUUCUUAGAUUAAUUUGGAUUAAAACCAACUAUCACAUAAUUUUAUUCAUUAAUCUAAAUUCACUCAUAAAACAAGGUAACACAAAAAACUUUUGGUGAUCCAUAACUUAUUCUUAAGUUAUGGAAUCCUUUAAAACAUUAACACCAAAUUUUGUAACUCCAAAAAAACUUUGAAUCAAUUUUUUUUUUAAAACCUUUUCAUAUCCAUAACUUAUGGAGGUUUCAAAAAAUAAAACUCUUUAGAUCAAACUUUUAAAACUAAUAAAAUAAUCAUAUUAUUUUAUCUUUUAUUAAAUUUGACCUAAUUCAACUCAUAAAGCAAAUUAUUCAAAUUUUACAAAUAAUUAGUUUUUCACAAGAACAAGUAAUUAUCUUAAAAUUUGACAAACUUCAUGUUUUUUUUUUUUUUUUUUUUCAACUUUGAAAAUAAAAUAUUUGCAUCAAUAUAACAGAAAACAACCCGUGGCUCUGAUACCACUGUUGGGUUUUGAGCAUUCUAACACUUCCUAAGUGUACAUGCAACCCUAAAUACCUUGGAUCUAUGUUUUCUCUAUUAUACAUGCAAAUAAGAACUUCCAAGGUAUUAUCCUAAUCUAGCAUACAAAACAAUAACUAUAGCAAGAUAGAAUACAUACCUCUUUGGUGUAGAAAGUCUUCAUGAAGCUUGAGUGCCUAGUGCCCCAAGUGUGACACCUCAAAUGGAAUCACAAUCAUCAAAACACUUAGAAUGACUUGAGAGAAUUCUACACUCAUCAAAAUCGGCUAGCCCUUUCUUCACUAUCUCUAGUGGCCGAUUUUUCCUCAAUAAUAAGAUGCUUAUAUAGUUACACAAUUAGGGUAAACUCUUAAUUGUCAUGGCUUUCCAUUUCCUUGGAUCCAUGGGUACAAAUACACCAUGGAGCAUCCAUGGACCAUCCUAUGGGUUUUAGCCCAACUUGAUUAUCCAUGGAGCAUUAGCCCACUAUACAAGUAUGGAUGAUUUACACAAUCAACCCAUAUAUUUAAUUAGUCUUCUUUUGAUCACUUAAUUAAUCCUAGAUUAAUUCUUGAUCAAUACUAAUUAAAUAAUCUUAUUAUUCUUAUUAUUAAUAUACUAGAACUUAUAAUAUAUUAAUAACCAUAAGUGUCUUAUUUCUCUCAUUAUAGUCUAUCCAAGUGCAUGAUGGUAUGCAACCCAAAUGGACCAUGCCGGGUCGGGUCAAGUCUUACCAAUUAUAGUUAUGGACUUAGACAUUAAUCCAACAAAGACAUGGGUAGAUGUAAUAGACGAAAUAUGAGUUGGAUGAUGAUUUGAGAGGUGAAAUAGGGUGAGAGGUGGACGAUGUGAGAAGCCUUUUUCCCAAAUGAUGGCCCCGUCAUUUAGCAAAGUAUGGAUGGCAACCACGAACUAUUCUAGACAGUCCAGUGGAACACUAGCAGGCUCGCAACUUGUAGGUGUUGUGAACGAUGUGUUCACUGGUGUACUCUA
rnacentral:lncRNA from 1 species